rnacentral:rRNA from 1 species
CCGGCGCACGGGUGAGUAACACGUAUCCAACCUGCCGUCUACUCUUGGACAGCCUUCUGAAAGGAAGAUUAAUACAAGAUGGCAUCAUGAGUCCGCAUGUUCACAUGAUUAAAGGUAUUCCGGUAGACGAUGGGGAUGCGUUCCAUUAGGUAGUAGGCGGGGUAACGGCCCACCUAGUCUUCGAUGGAUAGGGGUUCUGAGAGGAAGGUCCCCCACAUUGGAACUGAGACACGGUCCAA